AUUGAACGCUGGCGGCAGGCCUAACACAUGCAAGUCGAGCGGAUGAGAGGAGCUUGCUCCUUGAUUCAGCGGCGGACGGGUGAGUAAUGCCUAGGAAUCUGCCUGGUAGUGGGGGACAACAGUUGGAAACGACUGCUAAUACCGCAUACGUCCUACGGGAGAAAGCAGGGGAGCUUCGGGCCUUGCGCUAUCAGAUGAGCCUAGGUCGGAUUAGCUAGCUGGUGAGGUAAAGGCUAACCAAGGCGACGAUCCGUAACUGGUCUGAGAGGAUGAUCUGUCACACUGGAGAUGAGACAGGGUCCAGACCCCUACGGGAGGAACCAGUGGGGGAUAUUGGACUAUGGGCGACAGCCUGAUCCAGCCAUGCCGCGUGUGCGAAGAAGGUCUUCGGAUUGGAAAGCACUUUAGACUGGAAAGAAAAAACUUUGGUUAACACCCAAAGUCUUGACGGUACCAGGAGAAUAAGCACCGGCUAACUCUGUGCCAGCAGCCGCAGUAACAC
rnacentral:rRNA from 1 species